rnacentral:rRNA from 1 species
AGCAGUAGCCGCGGUAAUACGUAGGUGGCAAGCGUUGUCCGGAAUGAUUGGGCGUAAAGGGCGCGCAGGCGGCUGUGUAAGUCUGUCUAGGAAGUGCGGGGCUAAACCCCGUGAGAGGAUGAAAACUGGACAGCUGAGAGUGUCGGAGAGGAAAGCGGAAUUCCUAGUGUAGCGGUGAAAUGCGUAGAUAUUAGGAGGAACACCGGUGGCGAAAGCGGCUUUUUGGCCUGUAACUGACACUGAGGCGCGAAAGCGUGGGGAGCAAACAGGAUUAGAUACCCCUGUAGUCCCUGUCUCUUAUAC